GCUUGUCCUUGAUGGAUACCUCCUCGUGUGUCUCCUGGACCUCAUCUUGUGGGGUAUUGACUUGCCUAGCGUGCAUCUGCGAAACGCUCAUUGUCUCUAAGUGAGGAGGUAGGCUCUGGAAAUGACAAGAGGAGAAAACAAAAGGAAGCCAGGAACAAACCCUGUGCUCAUAAAAAGUGCCUGGAUGCACACAAUGGUCUAUUGUUAGCGUUUCAGCAUUAAUUAAGCACACUGCAAUGUACAAAAACAACCCUUCCAGCGUGGGAUCCUGGGAUCUCAAUGAGACAGGUGAGAAAGCUGCUGUUCUGCAAAUGCCAACUUUAUCCAUGUCAGAAGGGUGCCAGAGAUUUUUUUAAUUGAAUUUUCAAAUGUUUGGACUUCCCAUUGGUGCUUUUUAAUUAGCUAGUAUUGUUUUUAAUUUGUUCACUUAAAUUUUUAUAUGCACCGCUUGGUCAGUGGUUUCCUGGUAUUUUGUUGCAGCUGGUCAUAUUCUGUUAGGAAAGUAACUUCCCUUGAGGAACAACAACAACAAAAAAGAAUAAACAAACCCCCAAACACUUGAAAAAAAAAAUCAUAGCUCCCCAAGUUUCCCAUGAUUUAAUAACCUUGGCAAGAAGGACUUCUAAGUCUUACAAUGAUUUCUGCUUUGUGAUUGAUUUUACAUGUGUACUUUGAGAAAAAGGAAAGUCUUUCUGGUAUGCAAAUACAGAAGCAUGAAAAAUACCAUCUGUGUGGGUGGUCUCAAACUUUGCAUUUUUUAGUUUGCAAUGGUUGAAAAAGUUAAGGUGUUUCCAAUGCUUUAUGAGCUAUUACUGCUUUGAAAGUGUAAAGCAUAUCCUAAAAAUUAACUUGGAAAUUAGCUUUGUUUUGUUUGCCAUUUUAGAACAAAAUAUUUUCCACACACUUGGGAAGUAGUAAUCAUAUUGUCUGAUAGUGUAUAUCAGAUUUAGGAAUAUAAAAGAGGAGAAAAUAUGAUAAUCUGGUUUUGUCAUAUGGUGUGUUUUACUUCUCAAAGUUAGUGACUAUCUGACAUAUAGGUGGCAGCAUAUGUGAACAAAAGCCUAGGACUGUUGGUUGUAUGAAAAAAAUAUAUAUACUAUUACGCUCUGGCUUUCCACUUUCAGAAUGUAUAGAAAUUGUCCUUAAAUCAGCACAUCUCAGACUAAUUUAGUAAUACAUUCUUCUUGCUCUGGUAAUGUAUUUUCUAGUGUGCUCCAAGUCCUAAUUUCAGAGCUCUCCUGCGAAGACAAAAAAACUUCUAUCAAAGGUUUGGCCAGCUUAUAUUUAAGAUCUGUUAUUUGGUGUUCUUCUGUGCUUCGACCAGGUUCCAAAAAUCACUAACAAGUGCCAAGCAAAUUUCGUUUCAGAAAGUACUCAGCGGGAUUGCACACUAUCCAAAGUAAGCGCAGAGGCCCUGUUCAGGAAAGCAAUUUAUUGCCUUCCCUGCAUCUGUGAUGUGUGACUCGCACUAUGCAAAAGGAAUUAGUCAAGGCCACCAGUGAGAAAAUAUUCAGGAGGAAACAAAAUGAGCAGCAUGCUUUUUAAAAGCAGCUGCAUAUGUUCUCUUCCUGAAUAUAUGACCCAAAAUGUUGCCUUUCAUCCUGAGAUGUUCACUCAUGCUUCACUUUCCACAGCAGUCGACUGUUUCCAAUCUUAAUCUUCAAUGACACCUAUUUUUAAGUAUGGGACAGCUAAUAUUAACAAUAUUUAUUUGUAUUUCACCUGAAUUUCACUGUUGUCUGCCUUAUUAAUAUUAAGUGAACCUCAAAAUAGUCAGAUGUGAUGCUGUUUUCUCAGUGCUCAUCUGGAAACCAGAGGGAGACCCACAAGUCUUGCUUUCCAGAUUGUGAUCUAGAAACAAGAUCCACUUCCCUUGGCCAGUUUCCCACUCAACUAUUUGCUUCACUACAGUAAUGGCUGCUUUGCUGAGAAGUUCCCACCAGAGUUUGACCACCCAGAGGUACUAGUAUUAGGGCUACUACUGAAGAGAUGACCCAGCAUGACUCUUUCAUGUCUUUGUAUACUACUGUAGCACAGUGGACAACCUGUGAGGUUUCCUAACUAGGUGCUCACCAGGUGAACCUGGGGAAGGGCUGUUUCAUCUUGAAAUAUGUUUUCUAGCAUUUCAUGUUAAAUAUAUCUAAGAAGUGAUAAUGGAAAGGACUUUGGGAGCGCAAGAAAGGGACCAAACAAGUAUUUCUAUGAGCAAAGGUGUUUGUGAUGAGUGUUGAAGAUGUCUUCCUGGGUGGGCAAAAGGCCUCCCCCUCCUGUCUCCUUCGGGAAGUGACAGAAUCCAUACUCAAGCCUGGGCAACUUGGCAUGAGGCGCACAAAGAUAUCUCCAGCUUUAGUGACGCUGAUCUGUGCCCGACAUGGAGAAACAGGCUCCUCUACAGGACACAUCUGAAUGUUUAAUGGUGAAGUGUUGUGAGAUGGCUGACCAGAUGAAUAGCUUAUUGGUGCUGAGAAGGGGCAGAUCCCCCUUCACCCUAGCUGCUGCAUGUGUGGUCCCUCCCAUCUGCACAGGCUCUGCCACUCACCUGGCCCUGCAAUGAACCAGUUCAGCUCUCUGAGAAGCAGAAAAUAAUCCCUUUUGUCUUUCCUGCCUCUUCAGGUUAGCUGUCUCCUGGUAUAAAGAGGAGGUGAAUAAGCUAGCAGAGGCGGCAGCAAAGGGGUAGACCCAUAGCAAGGGAAGUGGUGGGUGAGCAUGGGACUAGGACAACAUGGAGAGUGAGAUGGUAUAUGCAGCAAAGAUAGGAGAGCUUUUUUUGCCAUCUUUGCACCUUUCCUGUGCUCUGCUCCUCCUCUGUACUGCUCUCCACCAAGUCCUGAGGGAACCUUUGAACAGCUACUUGUCACUGCAAAUUUACUAUUGGCAUAUCUUUUAUCAGCACCAAAGCCAGAUAAGGUAAGAACUGUUUGAACUGGCAAGAACAUUCCCAUGCGAGCAAGACCAGAAGCAGAAGAUUCUUAUCUCUAAGUGAAUUAAUACAGACCAUAUCUACACUUGAGUCCAGAGUCAACGAAGCUGGUGUGGACACGGUCCAGGCAGCUCUAAACCAGCUGGCUCAAAUGCUGAUAGCAACAAGGCUACAGAACACACUCUGGUUGGCAAAAUCUAGCCAAGCCUUGAGUAAAUAUUUGUGCAGCUACCUGUCUUAGCACCAUACAGUUAUCAAUAUAUCUGCUGAUACUAGUUUGAGCUGCACUUAAACUCCUAAGGCUAAAGUACAGGCAUAACCUUGUAGAACAGCUUAUGAAAAGCAGCUUUAUUUUUUUUUAAAUAUUUCAUACUUUUAAUUUUUUUUUUUUUCCAAAGCCUGUUUUACUACAAGAAAACAAAAGGUAAAAGAACAACUUAUACAUACAAGAGUCUAGCUAUUCGCCUUUGAUAACCCACUAUAGAAAGGAAUGAAAGAGAACAGGGAAAGUUGGUAAGACCAUAUUCUCAUUUGACUGCUUUUUUUUUUUUCCCAAUCUUAUUGAUUUCUUGUUAUUAAUAUUCUCUAAAUUAAGGCAUAUGCAAAAGGGUUUGUUUACACAGAGGAAAAGGCUGUUGCUGAUGUGAAAUGUGCUGUUGCUUGAUUGCUUCUAUCGCAGGGAAAAUGGAGCUGGCUCAGACCUAGACAGCCAGAUAAGAUGGACAAGGACAGUAGGUGUUGGAGAGAAGCCAACACGAGAGGAUGACAUGUCAGGUAUGAAAAGAUAAUUGAUUUGAGCAGGAGUUGACACUGCUGGGCAAGAUAUUGAGAUGAGUAGCAGAGAGAUAGGUUAAUAAAUAAUGAAGUGCUUUGAAGUUGGCCCAGCACUGGACAGACAGUUGCCAAACCAGGGGCUCCUCCUGUAGUGCAAAGCCCUGACAAUAGCACGCUCCAGCUCAGAUGGGUGACGGAGAGCGUGAAAUGAAGAACAGAGCUAGUUGUGAGGAGUCCUGAAAGAUCUGUGGCCGUCUAAUGUGUAACAUACGCAGGGUGCCCUCAUUACAAGUGAAGACCAGGAGGCCAACAUGUCACGAACUGAGGCCAGCUUCUGGUCUGGGGGAGGUGGUAAGCGCUGAACAGCAGUGUGGAAAUCAUGCCACAGUUAUUUUAUUUUAUUUUAUUUUAUUUUAUUUUAUUUUAUUUUAUUUUAUUCAUAUUAUUUUUAAAAUAAAAAAAAUACAGCUGAUGUGACUUUCUGUUCUGUUACUUUGAAAUCAAUGUGGUUACAUCAACAAAAAAAAUAAAUUAGACUUGAAAACAAGGAGACAUCAAGAGAACUUACGUGUAAGUAGUCUAACAAGUAAAAUGGAGACCAUCUUCAAAACUGCUUGCCUGGUCUAUAAGAGCUGAUCCAAGUGCACUUAAGGGUGUGAAUGAUCAAGAGAAGGAAUCGGUUGGUAGAGCGUAGAUAGGAAGCAAGAUGAACUACAUAAAAGGAUGAUUGUCAGUGAAUUUAGCAACGUAGCCUAAAAAUAGACACUUCGGCAGCAGGAGGUUCUGAAGACACAGAGCAAGAUGUCCAGAUGAUGUAAUUGUACCAUAGUUUUAGCUGUCAGUUCUCUACCAUUUGUUGUGCAUGUCACAGUAAAUGCUUUUCAUUUGUCAAAAAAAAAGACUCAAAGUGAGGAAAGAAAACAGUUCUCAGGCACCCAACGGAUGGUAUGAAGUGUUUUAGGCUAUUGCAACACCUUAAAAAACAUAAACAAAAAAAAAAACCAACAAAAUUUGAAUAGCCUGGGUAAUCUAAAUUUGAGAAUAGUGCUUCCAUCUUCUUUCUUUGCAGUUAAAGAAAGCCACUAUGUUAAGUUUGCUUUCUUUUGACCACAAUGUCCUCAUUCUGACACAAAAGUAUGUCUCAUCCUAAACCUCACCAGCUUCAGAGUUCAAGCCAUUCCUAACCCUGCCUUUGUAGCUGCAAAACCUGGGGCCUUAUAUUCAUCUUCGAGCACUCUUGAGUCUUCAAAUGCAGACAGAGCCUAUGGGACAGCCCUGGUACAGUUUGUUUUCUUGUCAAGGAGAAGACUUUAGAAGAAAGUAGGUCUGUAAAAGCUUUGGCCACCUGAGGAGGCAAGAGAAAAUAGGUAGUGAAGUGGCAGAAAAAGAGCCAAGGUCAGUGUGAGAAGAUGGUUUCAAAUGGCUCCAGCAGGAACGUCUCCCUGCUAGCUAGUCUUUGACCUGUGCCUUCCCGUAUUGCUGAUCAACCUUCUGUGUGUCCACAUGCUUGUUCUGGAGAUCUAAAAGGCUACACUGAGACAAUAUGAUGAGUGCUGCUUUUAUAGCCCUCUAUACUUAAUGUGCAUGUUAAGGAAGACAAAAGCCAAUUUGUUUCUAACAUCACUUCUCUCAGCGUCUCUAAUGUUUCUGCUUCUGAAUCAAAGGGAGGCAUUCUACAGUAAGACACUAAUAAAUAGCUUUUCCUCAGGGGAAGAAGCAUUUUCCCAUCUUCAAGAAAUUUCCUUGGCCAUGUGAAAUUCAAAUUUGUUAACUUGCCCUACAAAGAGCAACUCAUUUAGAAACAAAUUACAAAUAUUAGAUGGAGACAGUGAACUUGAUAAUGCAAUGCUGCCACAUCAGUUGUAGAAUAAUGCAUCUUAAUGAAGGCUUCCCAUGUGAAUAAACCAUUAUAUUUACAAGCUUUUCACAGUUAAUGACCCAGAACUGGAUAACGAAACUCACAUUUUUAGUGUGGUCCUCUGUCAGCAAAAGUAUACAUAUUAAUAAUUGAUGUUGCUGUAAAAAUAGGACAUAAUAUGAAGAUUCCUGAGUUUGUGGGAAAUAGGACUACAUGGUCCAUUAACUUAAAAUGCUUAUCUAAUGUUUGAUGGGCUUUGUCUUUAAAAUCCUUGUUUAAAUUAAUAAGGCAAAAUGGACAUUUGUCUAAAGGAGAAUUUUAUUCCAACUCAUCAGUCACAAGCAUGCUGAUGAGAGUGUUGUUUGAUUCUUCUGUCCUUUACUCCUUCUCUCCUCCCCAAAGAGAAUUUAUGUUUUAUGAAAGUGGAAGACCCACCAGCAGAAGGAAGGAUGAAGUUCCUUACACCUCUCAGGAACACUCUGCUGCAGAGUGACAUAACCUGUUCUUGGUAUUGUACUGAAGACUGGAGGCAAUUCUUCAGGAAUAAUUACUUGAUCCGGCCAAUCACCCCAUCUAGCACCUGCCGAAUCACUGCCUGCUUCUGCUGGUGAACAAGUUGGUCAUGGGCUGCCUCCAAGUGACGGAAGAUUUGCAUGUAUUUGAUGUAGGAAGUGGCUAACAACUUGAAUACUUUCACGAGGUCCUUCUCUGGCUGGAGGAAUUCUCCUCUCUCUUUGCAGAGUUGAAUAUCGAGGUCUUUCUGGGCAUCUGCCCACAUCUUAUUAGCUUCUCAAAGAAGAAUGAAGACAGCAAAAGACCCUGCCACCAUUAGAUGAGCUUUCAGAGCAGACCUCUUGUUCUGAGCAGCAUCGAGGGAGUGCUUGUCUACUAAUUCUGACAAUAAAGCUUGCACAGCUGUAAACGUUGCUUGUGCUUGAUAAUAAAUGCCUAAAUUGGA